GAUGAACGCUAGCGGCAGGCUUAAUACAUGCAAGUCGAGGGGCAGCGCAGUGUAGCAAUACAUGGGCGGCGACCGGCAAACGGGUGCGGAACACGUACGCAACCUUCCUUUAAGUGGGGGAUAGCCCAGGGAAACUUGGAUUAAUACCCCGUAAUAUUAUGAAGUGGCAUCACUUUAUACUUAUAGCUCCGGCGCUUAAAGAUGGGCGUGCGACUGAUUAGGUAGUUGGCGGGGUAACGGCCUACCAAGCCUGCGAUCAGUAACUGGUGUGAGAGCACGACCAGUCACACGGGCACUGAGACACGGGCCCGACUCCUACGGGAGGCGGCAGUAAGGAAUAUUGGUCAAUGGACGCAAGUCUGAACCAGCCAUGCCGCGUGGAGGAUGAAGGUCCUCUGGAUUGUAAACUUCUUUUAUUUGGGAAGAAACCCACUGUUUCUACGGUGGUUGACGGUACCAGAUGAAUAAGCACCGGCUAACUCCGUGCCAGCCGCCGCGGUAA
rnacentral:rRNA from 1 species